GUUCAUAUAGAUUAUACGUUUAUAAAUCAUGAUGCUGUUAACUUCAAGAAGAAAAUGUUCUGUGAACG
rnacentral:tRNA from 1 species